rnacentral:misc_RNA from 1 species
GUAUUGAUUGCGUGUGACCGCAAACUAAAAAGAAAACAUUCUAUACUGUAUCGAGUUUUAUGUGAAAACGCGAGCCCUCCGUAAGGAGGACCCACGCGGUGAUGCACAAAAGGGGUGAGAUGGAUUAUGUGCGAGAGCACCGAGGUGUGCACGACCCUUUCAAAAGUCAGCGACAACCCCAGCACCUCGAUUGUACGAUAAUGAUCCUUCCGCAGGUUCACCUACGGAAA